UACGUAGGGGGCAAGCGUUGUCCGGAAUCAUUGGGCGUAAAGAGCGUGUAGGCGGCCAGAUAAGUCCGCUGUGAAAUCUCGAGGCUCAACUUCGAGCUGUCGGUGGAAACUGUCUGGCUAGAGUCCGGAAGAGGAGAAUGGAAUUCCUGGUGUGCGGUGAAAUGCGCAGAUAUCAGGAAGAACACCCGUGGCGAAGGCGGUUCUCUGGGACGGUACUGACGCUGAGACGCGAAAGCGUGGGGAGCGAACAGG
rnacentral:rRNA from 1 species